GGGCUGCUCUGAAAGUAACACCUUCUGUUUUAUUAUGUUGGCCCACUGUCAGAGGUAGAUGUUGGUAUGGCAGCAGAGAUUGAAACUUCUCACCAACAUUCCAUGACCCUUAUGGUGUGACAGAUGGCAGCAGAGGAGCAGUUUGACAAAAUAAUAUUUGAUAUCAUAGUGGGUAUGAAGCAAAGCCACUCCUUGUCAUUGUGGAUACCAGUUGUUGGAACUCAUAUGCUUGAAAUCACAAAAGCCACCAAAGCAGCCAACUGUGACUGGCUGUUAUUGACUAUUUCUUCUGAAAUACAAAGGUUAAAAGAAGAGCUGCCUUUUAACUGUGCAACUUUUUAAUGACCUCUCGACUUGCUGUUCCAAAGAGAAGUAAAAAAAUAAAUAAAUCUAUGGAACUGCAAAGUGGUCUACAGCAACCAAAGUUUCUUUUUUUCAGAGACCUCCUGCUGAGAAGGUGACAGAUCAUCUGUGUAGAUAGCAGCAGCACUAUGUGGAACGGCUUUGCCCAUGGGAGGCUGCAAGGAUUCUGUCAGCAUACGUUUGUGGCGUUUUAAAGCACUGUUGCCUCUGAAAUUAAGACGUGACAUUUUGAAGCAAUUAUUCAUUGGUGGAGCUAAAUGAGUCAUGAAGUGAAAGGAACUGUGACUUCACUAAAAAUGAUGUAGAAAAAUGCAAGAAUAAGUUGAGAAAUCAUCAGUGGAAAAGAUUCCUAAUUUCAUAUGUGUUCCAGUAAUUUUACAUCAUACAUAUGAAGGUAAGCAUGAGUUCCCCAGCCUUGAAGUUCAGAGAAAUUUCUUUUUUAAUUUAGUUAUUUGUAGAUCUCAUGUCAUAUUUGUCCUUACUAUUGACCUUAAACAAAUAUCCUGUAACUGUGUAUCUAGAACAAGAGAGGUAGCUGAAUUGGUUAAGCUGAGGAAGCUUGAUGCCAGAAGAGAGUUACAAAGGAAAUGAGAGAAGGUGAGCGAUUUAAGGGAGAUUGAAAAAGCAAAAAGAAUGGAUGGAGAGAACAGACAAAUAGUAGGAAAAAUAAUCUGUUAAGAACCUGGGUCUGCUGAACAAGGAGUUUUUAUUAACAUGUGUGUUAAUAUAAAAAGUGUUUUAGUUUGUUCCCUUAUUGGUUUUGAAAGUUUUAUUGGUUAUAGAAAUUUCUGGAGCUCUUUCUUAUUUAAUUAAUACUACUUUCUACCAAAAGCCUCCCUGCUUUGAUAUGACUAGUUAUGAAUGUGAACAUGUCUCUGCUGAGCUUUCAGGAUGAAUUAAUUUAAGUGAAGAUUUCUUCUUAAUGUACUUCUUCAGUAAGGCUUUACCUCAAGGUUAUAGUUAAAUUAACUUCAGUUGAAGGACUUCUUUCACCUAACUUUCUACUUGAAAGCAUUGUUGGAAGAUUGUCUGUGCAGCACCCCUAAAUGCUUCUCUAGGGCUCUGUCAGAGUGGAUUCCCUCUUAAGCUUGCCUGCUUAAUAGCACAAAGGUAAAAGACUCUUAAUGGCAAAACUACUUAUCUGUUUUAAAAAGACCAUAACUGUGAUAGGCCUUUACGGAACUAAUGUCAUAAUUAGAGAGCAAGAGAGAUUAAUAUUGAUCAAGAUUGAGUGGGCAGUGGGGAAGCACAAGGGGAGGAAAGAAUAUCUGAAUAGCAGAAUUCCUUAAAAACAAACAGAACAAAAACUUAAAAUACUUCUAUCUGUAUGGAGUUGUGUGUAUUUGGAGAUCUAUGGAUAUAUAUUUGUGUAUAUACAUGCAUAAAAUUUUGGAUCUUUAUGUAUGCAUAUAAAUUAAUAUUGCCUUUACAAUAUUAGAAAAAUAUAAUAUUUCAGCUGUGUGUACAACACAUUUGUAAGUAUUUAAUACCUCAAACUGAGUUGCAUAUUACAUGAUGGCAAUAUUUUGAAGACAUCAAAUGUGGCAGCAUAGUAAUUUUGAGGUUUUGCAGUGGAACUUAGUGGAACAAUGUGUGAAGUUAUACAACUGCUUUUUUAGAUAGAAUUAGAAAAAAAAUCCGAAUGUCAAAGGCUUUCUGCAAAAUAAGCUUGUAUUUCAUGACUAAAACAAUUUGAAUUUGGUCUUCUAUGAUGCUGUUAUUUUUUUGUAUUUGGUCUGAUAACUUAUUUCCAGAUGGAGCUAGGUAUAUGAUUGUUCUUUUCUGAACCACAUCUGGAAGAAUUUGUUAUAGAGUUGAAUUCCACUUGAAUUUAAAAAGACAAGAAAAUGAAAUUCUGCCAUUAAUAUGUGUUGGUUAAUGUUUUUUUUGUUUGU